AACAAAAGUAACCAGGAGAACAAGCUUUAGAGAUGAUAAAAGCUCAGUAUCUUGGCAACCUUUUGUGUUGGGUUAUUUUUAAAAAAUGGAUAAUAUUGUGCUCUAGUUCUAAUUUAUUCAGCUAUUUGCUGAGUGAUAGCAACAUUACAACUACAGAAUCUGUAUGUCAUCUUGACAUUGCUGUGUUUCCAGCAAACAACAUCUCUUUAUUCCUCUUCACAUGUCCAGAACCACUGUGAUUUAGCACCCAUAUAAUUGGAAGAAGGAAAGAAAGCGGGCAGACAAAAAGAAGAAAGAACAGAGAAGAAUUUUGGAAAAAUAUGGAACUGUAAGAUGAUGCAUUCUACAUAUGAUUUAUGUAAGAGGGAGAAUUUAAAACUUCAGUUAAACCCAAAGAAAAUGUUGCAUGUUGACAUUUCUGUAUCAAAAUAUUGGCAAAUAAAUGGAUAUGCAUGUGAUUUAAGUUAAAAUAAAAAUGUUUAAGUAUUGUAUGUAUCAUAUUUAUUGGAUGCACUGUAAAACCAAUUUUGAUGUUUACCACUAUUUUUCCUUUUACUAUGGUAUUUAUGAAUAUAUAUUUAUUUGUGGCUCAGAAGAAUUUAAGACGGUCAAAGUUGCUGCAAAACAA
rnacentral:lncRNA from 1 species